AGACCCGAAACCCGGUGAUCUAGCCAUGGGCAGGUUGAAGGUUGGGUAACACUAACUGGAGGACCGAACCGACUAAUGUUGAAAAAUUAGCGGAUGACCUGUGGCUGGGGGUGAAAGGCCAAUCAAACCGGGAGAUAGCUGGUUCUCCCCGAAAGCUAUUUAGGUAGCGCCUCGUGAAUUCAUCUCCGGGGGUAGAGCACUGUUUCGGCUAGGGGGCCAUCCCGGCUUACCAACCCGAUGCAAACUGCGAAUACCGGAGAAUGUUAUCACGGGAGACACACGGCGGGUGCUAACGUCCGUCGUGAAGAGGGAAACAACCCAGACCGCCAGCUAAGGUCCCAAAGUCAUGGUUAAGUGGGAAACGAUGUGGGAAGGCCCAGACAGCCAGGAUGUUGGCUUAGAAGCAGCCAUCAUUUAAAGAAAGCGUAAUAGCUCACUGGUCGAGUCGGCCUGCGCGGAAGAUGUAACGGGGCUAAACCAUGCACCGAAGCUGCGGCAGCGAACGUAUCACUUAAAGCGAUUCAGCGGGUUACGAUUGACGGAGCGAAGCGACGUCAAAGCGUAUACAAAGUCGAGUCGGUUUAAGGAUACGUUCGUUGGGUAGGGGAGCGUUCUGUAAGCCUGCGAAGGUGGCCUGUGAGGGUUGCUGGAGGUAUCAGAAGUGCGAAUGCUGACAUAAGUAACGAUAAAGCGGGUGAAAAGCCCGCUCGCCGGAAGACCAAGGGUUCCUGUCCAACGUUAAUCGGGGCAGGGUGAGUCGACCCCUAAGGCGAGGCCGAAAGGCGUAGUCGAUGGGAAACGGGUUAAUAUUCCCGUACUUGGUGUUACUGCGAAGGGGGGACGGAGAAGGCUAUGUUGGCCGGGCGACGGUUGUCCCGGUUUAAGCGUGUAGGUGUGUGUUCCAGGUAAAUCCGGUUCACUUUAACACUGAGGCGUGACGACGAGGCACUACGGUGCUGAAGCAACAAAUGCCCUGCUUCCAGGAAAAGCCUCUAAGCAUCAGGUAACAUCAAAUCGUACCCCAAACCGACACAGGUGGUCAGGUAGAGAAUACCAAGGCGCUUGAGAGAACUCGGGUGAAGGAACUAGGCAAAAUGGUGCCGUAACUUCGGGAGAAGGCACGCUGACACGUAGGUGAAGUGAUUUACUCAUGGAGCUGAAGUCAGUCGAAGAUACCAGCUGGCUGCAACUGUUUAUUAAAAACACAGCACUGUGCAAA
rnacentral:rRNA from 1 species